GGGCCCGUAGCUCAGUGGUUAGAGCGGCCGGCUCAUAACCGGUUGGUCGCAGGUUCGAUCCCUGCCGGGCCCACCA
rnacentral:tRNA from 1 species